rnacentral:rRNA from 1 species
GACGUAGGGGGCGAGCGUUGUCCGGAUUUAUUGGGCGUAAAGAGCGCGUAGGCGGCCCGUUAAGUCGGAUGUGAAAACCCGGGGCUCAACUCCGGGCCUGCAGUCGAUACGGGCUGGCUUGAGUGCGGUAGGGGAGACUGGAAUUCCUGGUGUAGCGGUGAAAUGCGCAGAUAUCAGGAGGAACACCGGUGGCGAAGGCGGGUCUCUGGGCCGUAACUGACGCUGAGGAGCGAAAGCGUGGGGAGCGAACAGG